UAUUUGCAAGAACUACUAGAACCUCGUCGAACCAUCUAUCACUUUUCAGGGACCCGCAAGGCUAGAGCUAGGGCUCCAACAGAGGCACCCCCAAUUGCUCCCCCACCUACUAGGCCAUCAUCAUUUUCUUUCUCCUCCACUCUACCAAACCAGAAAGUCCCCUUGUUGCAGAGUAUUCAUCCCGGGCAAUGCUUGUUGGCCUAGAGCCUCCACCACCUAUCCCAAUAGUAGCCGGUCAUGACCCUUAAGGCUUUCUUGG
rnacentral:lncRNA from 1 species